rnacentral:tRNA from 1 species
GCGCCCAUAGCUCAGUCUGGAUAGAGCGCGACGCUACGGACGUCGAGGUCGGGGGUUCAAGUCCCUCUGGGCGUGCCA